UGACUCUCCCAUCAGAAGAUCCUCCUUGCCUGCCCCAGGCCUCUCACAGUAGAGGUUUUGACUUAAACAGUGCAGGGUCCCCAGGUGCUCGGAAACUGAGGCCCACCCGCGCCCAUUAAACGUUAUACCGAGAAGCUGGAGAGAUGGCUCGGAGAUGAAGAGCUCAUCUUCCGGAGGACCCAGGUUCACCCACAUGGUGGCUCCUAAGCCCCGGUUGCCCUCUGGGGGCAUGGGUCUCCGCCCACUCCUGAGGCCUCGCUGACUG